UACGUAGGGACCAAGCGUUGUUCGGAUUUACUGGGCGUAAAGGGCGCGUAGGCGGCUUGACAAGUCACUUGUGAAAUCUCCGGGCUUAACUCGGAACGGCCAAGUGAAACUGUCAUGCUAGAGUGCAGAAGGGGCAAUCGGAAUUCUUGGUGUAGCGGUGAAAUGCGUAGAUAUCAAGAGGAACACCUGAGGUGAAGACGGGUUGCUGGGCUGACACUGACGCUGAGGCGCGAAAGCCAGGGGGAGCGAACGGGG
rnacentral:rRNA from 1 species